CUUCUCCCUCCAAAACUACGAAAGCCAACCCCACCUUCCUCUGCUAGGGUUAGGGUUUCUCCCACAUCGGAGACCGUCGAGCAGAGAUCCCCUGCCCAAAUCGGCGAGCGCCGCCCAUGGCGAGGUACAGGAGCAGGAGCCGCAGCUUCAGCCCCCGCCGCCGCAGCCGAUCCCCCCCGGCCCCCCGCGCCCGCAAGCGCCACGGCUACGACGAGGACCCUCGCGACCGCCGCGCUUACCACCGGGACCGCCGCUCUCCCGCUCCUUCCGGCCUCCUCCUCCGCAACCUCCCCCUCGACACCAGGGCGGAAGAUCUCAGGGUGCCGUUCGAGCGGUUCGGUCCUGUGAAGGAUGUCUACCUUCCUAAGAAUUAUUACACGGGGGAGCCUCGUGGCUUUGGAUUUGUGAAGUUCCGUUAUGCAGAAGAUGCAGCUGAGGCUAAGCAGCAAAUGAAUCAUACUGUUAUUGGAGGACGUGAGAUAAGAAUUGUUUUUGCUGAGGAGAACAGAAAAACUCCUCAUGAGAUGCGCGUGAGCGAGCGCGUGACUGAUCGUGUGAGUGGGCGACAUAGGGAAAGAAGGAGAAGUACAUCAAGAUCUCCAAGACGCCAUAAUCAUUCUUACUCAAGGUCACCAACACCAGAUAGGCAUGACUCAAGAUAUUAAAGUGAACAGGAAGAUUUUAAAGACCUAUGGGUAAAUAAAGUUAAACGAGAAAAGACAGUGAUGGACAACUCCCUUACCGUUCUGUCAAAGCUUUUCUAUAUGUUAUUAUCCCACCUUCGCCAAUUACUGUCAAGAAAGCAUGGGCUUUUGCGUACUAGGUCUGGUGGCCUGCAGUUGCAACUGAACUGAUUAGUAAAGCACUGUCAGCAGAUGAUUAAAUCACUAAAGUGCCUUUUUUUCACUAUUUGUUCUUUCUGUGUGAUCUAACAUAGUUGUUAAUGAAAAGGUUUUGAAGCUUUAUUUUGUUUUGCAUAUACCAUCCAGUUAAGAAAAGAACUAGAGCUUUUAUUUGGCCAAAGAAAGAAAUCAUCCUCAAUCAAGGGAAGCAAUACCGGUGUAGAGAUAUGAUGACAUUGUCAAAGAUAGUUUGAGGUUUUAGAAAGUUGGGCCAAAGAGAGCCAUGCAGUUGUUGGAUGCUGACGUGCCAGUACAUCGUUAAUGAGACUAAUUCCAGUAUUUGGGCCCAAGUUGGUAAUUUGUACGGAACUCUUAUAAAGGUGCAGGAGCCGUGGGGCAAAGGACCAGUAUCACUCUCCAAUGCGAUCUGGGUCUGUAUCACAUUCUCCGUCUCCUCGGGAGCACAAGGUUAAGCGGUCCAGUAAGAGGUCUCCAAGUCUGAGGGAAGAUAGUCGAAGUCCCAUUCAGGAGAGGGGUUAUCCGGCAGGCAGGU